rnacentral:misc_RNA from 1 species
GAUGAAGAACGCAGCGAAAUGCGAUAAGUAGUGUGAAUUGCAGAAUUCAGAGAAUCAUCGAAUCUUUGAACGCACAUUGCGCCCCUUGGUAUUCCAUGGGGCAUGCCUGUUCGAGCGUCAUUUGUACCUUCAAGCUCUGCUUGGUGUUGGGUGUUUGUCUCGCCUCUGCGCGUAGACUCGCCUCAAAACAAUUGGCAGCCGGCGUAUUGAUUUCGGAGCGCAGUACAUCUCGCGCCUUGCACUCAUAACGACGACGUCCAAAAGUACAUUUUUACACUCUUGACCUCGGAUCAGGUAGGGAUACCCGCUGAACUUAAGCAUAUCAAUAAGCGGAGGA